GGGGGCACCCUGAUCUGCCAUGCCGCGUGGAGCGAUGAAGGCCUUAGGGUUGUAAAGCUCUUUCGCUGGGGAAGAUAAUGACGGUACCCAGUAAAGAAGCCCCGGCUAACUCCGUGCCAGCAGCCGCGGUAAUACGA
rnacentral:rRNA from 1 species